rnacentral:sRNA from 1 species
UGGCAUUGAUUUCAUGAAGUACAAGGGAAAGUAUGGUUGAAUUUCUUAAUAUGAGCCA